rnacentral:rRNA from 1 species
AAUCAACGCUGGCGGCGUGCCUCAGACAUGCAAGUCGAACGCGAAAGUUCCCUUCGGGGAGCGAGUAGAGUGGCGCACGGGUGAGUAACACGUGGAUAAUUUACCUCGGGUGGGAAUAACAACCGGAAACGGUUGCUAAUACCGCAUAAUGCAGCGGCAUCUAUGAUGACAGUUGUUAAAGCGGGGGAGUCGCAAGACCUCGCGCCUGAAGAGAAGUCCGCGGCAG